UACGUAGGUGGCAAGCGUUUGUCCGGAUUUACUGGGCGUAAAGGAUGCGUAGGCGGAUAUUUAAGUCAGAUGUGAAAUACCCGAGCUUAACUUGGGUGCUGCAUUUGAAACUGGGUGUCUAGAGUGCAGGAGAGGUAAGUGGAAUUCCUAGUGUAGCGGUGAAAUGCGUAGAGAUUAGGAAGAACACCAGUGGCGAAGGCGACUUACUGGACUGUAACUGACGCUGAGGCAUGAAAGCGUGGGGAGCAAACAGG
rnacentral:rRNA from 1 species